rnacentral:tRNA from 1 species
GCCUGGGUGGCUCAGUCGGUUAAGCAUCUGACUUCAGCUCAGGUCAUGAUCUCACAGUUCGUGGGUUCGAGCCCCGCAUUGGGCU